rnacentral:rRNA from 1 species
CCUACGGGAGGCAGCAGUGGGGAAUUUUGGACAAUGGGCGCAAGCCUGAUCCAGCCAUGCCGCGUGCGGGAAGAAGGCCUUCGGGUUGUAAACCGCUUUUGUCAGGGAAGAAAAGGUUCUGGCUAAUACCUGGGACUCAUGACGGUACCUGAAGAAUAAGCACCGGCUAACUACGUGCCAGCAGCCGCGGUAAUACGUAGGGUGCAAGCGUUAAUCGGAAUUACUGGGCGUAAAGCGUGCGCAGGCGGUUAUGCAAGACAGAGGUGAAAUCCCCGGGCUCAACCUGGGAACUGCCUUUGUGACUGCAUAGCUAGAGUACGGUAGAGGGGGAUGGAAUUCCGCGUGUAGCAGUGAAAUGCGUAGAUAUGCGGAGGAACACCGAUGGCGAAGGCAAUCCCCUGGACCUGUACUGACGCUCAUGCACGAAAGCGUGGGGAGCAAACAGGAUUAGAUACCCUGGUAGUCCACGCCCUAAACGAUGUCAACUGGUUGUUGGGAGGGUUUCUUCUCAGUAACGUAGCUAACGCGUGAAGUUGACCGCCUGGGGAGUACGGCCGCAAGGUUGAAACUUAAGGAAUUGACGG